AAUUAUCUAGUUUAAUUUAAAACAUUUGUUUUGAAAACAAAAAAUAAGGAUUAAAUUUUCCUUUAUAGUUU
rnacentral:tRNA from 1 species